UACAGAGGUCUCAAGCGUUGUUCGGAUUCAUUGGGCGUAAAGGGUGCGUAGGUGGCGCCGUAAGUCGGGUGUGAAAUUUCGGAGCUUAACUCCGAAACUGCAUUCGAUACUGCGGUGCUUGAGGACUGGAGAGGAGACUGGAAUUCAUGGUGUAGCAGUGAAAUGCGUAGAGAUCAUGAGGAAGACCAGUGGCGAAGGCGGGUCUCUGGGCCGAUACUGACGCUGAGGAGCGAAAAGCGUGGGGAGCGAACAGG
rnacentral:rRNA from 1 species